GACGAACGCUGGCGGCGUGCUUAACACAUGCAAGUCGAACGGUAAGGCCCUUUCGGGGGUACACGAGUGGCGAACGGGUGAGUAACACGUGGGUGAUCUGCCCUGCACUUUGGGAUAAGCCUGGGAAACUGGGUCUAAUACCGGAUAGGACUACGCGAUGCCUGUCGUGUGGUGGAAAGCUUUUGCGGUUUGGGAUGGGCGCGCGGCCUAUCAGCUUGUUGGUGGGGUGAUGGCCUAGCAAGGCGACGACGGGUAGCCGGCCUGAGAGGGUGUCCGGCCACACUGGGACUGAAAUACGGCACAGACCACUACGGGAGGCAGCAGUGGGGAAUAUUGCACAAUGGGCGCAAGCCUGAUGCAGCGACGCCGCGUGGGGGAUGACGGCCUUCGGGUUGUAAACCCCUGUCAGCACAGACGAAGCGUAAGUGACGGUAGGGGCAGAAGAAGCACCGGCCAACUACGUG
rnacentral:rRNA from 1 species